AGAUGCUAACCUUGUUCUUACCUGAAGUGACUGAAGCCGAUAGCGGCACCUGGGAAUGUACUUACACCGGUCAAGAUCAGUCGUGGACGCUUGCAAAAUUUCUUCUUGAAGUGAAAACGGAGGCAACAGGGUGGACCGCCAUUGUCGUUGCAGCAGCGGUGUUUGUGCAGCUUGUCACAUUCUUCGGCUGCGGCUGGGCUUGGCUUUGCAGGAGAACCCGAGCUGGCGCGCGACGCGAAAUGCUCGCGCUCAGCCGAUGCAGAAAGGAUUAAUCCCUCUGCGAGUCCUCUUCGGCGAGGCCGUGUUUCGAUCCAACGACGGCGCUUGCUUCC